UUAAAAAGCGAGGGAGAAAAAACUGAAAAAUAACAGAUUCAGUUUUCAUUUUACAACUUUUAUUUUAUUUUUUUUUUCUAAUUUUUAGUUUUACUUAGUUUUUUUCAUUUUUUUUUUUCAUUUUCUUCUUUUCGCUCAUUUUGGUUCAUGUUGUACAUAUAUUUAAGGGAGGUAUCUUGCUGGGUUUGAAAAAACCUUCAUUUUGAUAUGUAACAUGGUAUGAUUUGAUAGCGCUUUUUUUUGCUUUUUUCUUACAUUUUUAAUGCUUUUUUAUAGCGCUUAAAACGUGUUUGAUAGCGCUUAAAAAUCCUAGCUCUACUUAUCAGUAACUGGAAAAGAAUUGAAAUUUUGUAAGGAUGAUGCAUAGAAUCAUAAACAUUUUUAAAAUAGAAUUUAAAAAAUCGAAAAAAUAGCGUUUGCUUAAUGAAAUUUUUAUGGCCAUUUUUGAAUGUUUAAAUUUCACAGAAAAUUAAUUUUUUUCCCAAUUUUAUAAGGCGAAAAUCAUAAUACAGUAUCUACUUUGAAAUUUGAUCACUGAAUACGAGCACAUUGCAUAAGUUCAAGUUUGUAAGGUUAUAAAUUAGGAGGAAAUAGGUAAUAACUCGGUUAAGGUAUCAUGUUAAACAGCUAAUUUAAUGAUCACAAUCGGUGAGUCAUUUCUAUAGCGUAUCACCUGAGUGACCUGAGUACCUUUACUCUGCUCUUGUACCCGGAAAAGAUUAGAAUUAUUUCAAAAGCCCGAAGGUAAAUAUAUCGCAAGUGUAUACUUGGCCUAGGUGAGUACAAUAUAAAAUUAGAAAAUUUGAUGAUAGCUGAACAUUUACGGUUUUAUCUCCUUUUUGAAUUUUACGUCGUGAUUAAUCGAACAAUUGACCAGUAAAAAAUAAAUUGGCACGAGAAAAUUGGAUACCGAAUCUGAGAAGCUGAAUAUUUGAACUUGCUGCCAAAUCUUCGAAUUACUCGAACGUUUUAUUCCAUUUCUGAAUCCAGGAUUCUUAAACAUGAAUAUUUUUAACCUGUUAAUAUUCGCCACCGGAGUCGUUUUACUGCUUGCUUUUUCUCAGGCAACUCCUGACACAAAUCAGAAAAUGCCUUAUAAGGUGUUUACCAGAAAAAUCGAUUGUUUGAGAACUUGCGUUGAUUACUGCGAACUCCACGGAAUUCGUAAAUAUCAUUGCCCUCUCACUGAAUACAGAGGAUAUAUGUGUUCUUGCAGAGAUCCAAUGAUGUACGAAUGAUUUUACUGAAUGUACGCCCUUCUUAUCUCGUUCAAGUGUUCAAUUAGUUUUUUUGUAGCAGCAAUAUUUUGACAAAUAGAUUACAAUUUUUUCAUUCUA